AAUUGGGAAAUAGAUUGGGGUGCACAGAUUUUCUGUGGCCACGGCGUUGUUGUUGGAUUGAAGAAGAGAUGAUAAACAGAAGAGCCCGCCGUGAUGUGGCGAAGUUUCACGAGACGACGCCUACAUUUUUGGUUUAAUGGAGAGUGGAGUCAUGGGUUCUCUAUUUCACGACGCUGAUUAAACGCUCACCUCCUAAUUCCUCUCUGCAUCCACCACUCUUACUCUUUCAAGCUCCAUUUCGUGCUUUGAAUGAUUUCGAAAACCUGUUCAAGAUUCCGAAUGGUGGGCGUUUGAGAGCUCUGGAAGUUAUGGGUGCCGAUUCGAAUUCUAGCGAUGAUUAUAACAACUCAGUUGGAUGGAACAGAGCUGGGGGUUUGAUUAUGAAGACUUUGGUACUGGUCGGAGGCGCCCUUUUCCUCAAACGUCUUACUAAGUCCACGACGCGAUGGGAUCAUGCCCGCUCCGUUUCUCAGUCUCUUUCCGGCGAGAAGUUUUCGAAGGAGCAAGCGGCUAGGGAUCCUGAAAAUUACUUCAACAUCAGAAUGACUACGUGCCCUGCAGCAGAAUUGGUUGAUGGUUCUACGGUGUUGUACUUCGAACAAGCUUUCUCCAGAACUCCUCAAAAACCAUUUCGCCAGAGAUUUUAUACGGUGAAACUUUGUUCAAAGGAGAUGAAAUGUGAUGUGGAGCUAAGCUCAUACGCCAUUCGAGAAAUGGAGGAGUACAAGAAUUUUUGUGAUCGCACAAAAGACCAACGUCCUCUUCCCGAAGAAAUAGUUGGGAUUUUUUAUGCACAGGACAUUGCGGAGCAUUUAACUACGCUACAUCUCAAGUGUUGUGACCGUGGAAAACGUUGCCUCUACGAAGGUUCAACUCCACCUGGUGGUUUUCCAAAUUCAUGGAAUGGAGCAGCCUACUGUACUUCAGAAAUUGCUAUCCUAAAGAAUAAUGAAGUACAUACCUGGGAAAGGGGUUAUGACGAAGAUGGAAACCAGGCUUGGGGAACAAAAGGACCUUACGAAUUCAAGCCAGCCCCAGCCUCCAGUCUCAAGGACAUGUUUUCUCCAUUAAAUCUCUCUCAGCUGUCCAUGGAGAAAAGAAUAGAGGGUUCAUUUGUCUUGCAAUAAUAGUCGCCUAAUAAUUGUUCUUAUCUUGUUCAAAAGAGCCGGUCGAAUUCUUGAAAGCAAGCAAAAUGGCUCUCCAGUGGACAUACUACCAAGCUCAGUUUCAGACUCAGGAAACUGCACGGAUUUGUGCAGGAAUCAUAGUGAAUAAAGAUUAGGCUACAGACAUCAGUUAGAACGAUGGUGGCCGCAGUUUUCAGUCUUUUUCACCCAAUGGAGCGCUGUAGCGAUGCUUUACAGAACAUAUUGCACUACGAUAACUCUUAAGAAGUGUGUACUUCUCAAUUCUUGCCUUGUAUUGUAUAAGAAUGCAUAAAUUUGGCUACUUUUUUCAGGGCAUCCAAUCCUUUUACUCCAUGAAUU